ensembl:lncRNA
AAAACAACUUAAAAGUUUUUCUUGACAACAACUUGAAAAGAGCAGAUUAUUUUUGACAGGUGCUUUCACGCCUGGAGAAGACAAUAAUUGUGUGGAUGGAGGGAGUGGCGUAUGGAGCUUCGAACGCCUCGAGGACACGUGUCAUCAGGAGGGACUCCAGCUGAACGCUCGGCUACACACACACACACACACACACACACACACAACAAUAACCUCAGACAAACACACAAACACAGUUACCCCAGUACAGACACCAAGUCUCUCUCUCACACACACACACACACACAACAGAAACAGACACUCAUGUCAGACAAACACACACACACACACACAAACAGAUACUCAUGUCAGACAAACACACACAUGUCACACGCACACAAACACACACACAGACUGCCACACACAUAGUUAUCCAAGGACAAACACCAGAUCCCUCUCUCUCACACAAACACACAUACACUCAUGUGACACAAACACACACACUCAUGUCACCUAACAGCUCACAGUCUCUCAAACAAUAACCUCAGACACACACACACACACACAGUUACCCAAACACAGACACCGAGCCUAUCUCGAUCACACACACACACACACACACACCACACACACACACACACACACACACUCAUUUCACACACACACACACAAACACACACUUGUCAGACACCUAUUGGUUUCAGUCUGCACCUGCGAUUACAUAUCUUUUAUAUUGCGGUCUGUCAAAAAUAAUUGAAUUUAUUUCCUACAAUACAUGUCAGGAGAAGGACCUCAUGCUGCCAAAUAAUAAAUAAAGAGGGUGUGGGAACGGCUAAGUACUAACGACAGGAGACGACGUGCCACGGUUUAAGACUGGGAGACGUUUCUAAUUGCUAGCAAGGUCGCCGUGGCUGUCUCCGUCUCGUCUCCCGUCAGCGCGACGUGUCGCGCUCCGGAGCCGCGUCCGACCGUCUGUCACCACGGAGACAGACUGGCCUGCUGCCCUUCACAGGAGAGCAAAAAGUAAAGCCCCCUCACACGUCCUGACGUUCCUGAUCCACGCUCUCUGCCUUUAAUUGAAGCUAGCCGGCGUCUGAAAUAACCGACCACACAACGCUGGCCAAAGAAUUCAUGGUCUUUUACGGUUCGGAAUACAAUUAGAAUAUGCAGGACUAGGAAUGUUUGUGUGUGCUUUUGUGUGCGUGUGUGUCUUUGUGUGCGUUUGUUUUUGUGUAUGUGAUUGUUUAAUGUAAAUAUAAAUGUGCGUGUUUUUGUUGGUUAUAUUUAUACAAGCAUCUAAAUGUCCUUAAGUUAUUGCCAUGUCCAUCUGUUCGUGAACCAAGAUAUUCUCCAGCACAAUUUGGCUUACCAUAUGCUAUGCCUUUGCUAGUGUGUGUGUGUACACGAGUGUUAGUGUAUUCUAGCGUGCAUACAUACAAGUUGUGUGUUUGUGUGUAUGUGCGUGUUCGUGAAUACAGUCAAGUACUGAGCACACGGUGGUAAAUGAUGGAGAUCCUUGCUGUCAGCCAGGCUUCCCUGCAGCCUGUUUCCAUGCUCAUCCUCAUCUGUCCUGAGACACACAUACAAACACACACACACACACACACACAGACACACACCAAGAACAUCCUAACAACUUAACAACCUAACAACCUAACAACCUCCACCAUACACGGUGGGGGUCUCCCCAGCCCGGCCGUCUCUCCUCCCUCCUGUAGGUCAGCAGUGCCCUGGGGGGGGGCUCUGGGGCAAUCAGUUGUCAACAUCUGCUCCAGUGAGGAGGCUGGAAGAGUCAAACAGAGCCUAGAAGGCAGUAGGAGGCAGGGCCAUGAGGGUGGAGGAGAGGUGGAGAGGGGGUGGAGAGGGAGGCUUCGCAGGGUGUCAGGGUUUUGUUUUCCUACCUGGUCACGUCUUGUCACCUUACUCUGGGGACUCUCUUUGACUGACAGCUUUCUGUGUUUCGCCGUGUUCUGACACCAGCGUCGGCCCUAAACGCGUCCAGCGCUGGGUGAACCAGCACCGUGUGAAUCAGCCGGGCACACGACACAAACCCGUUUUCACUCACAUGCUAUUCGUCUUCUUCAAAGCAAUAGAGCACAGGUGUCCCCUAGUGCCCCUCGCUCGGCUGUGACACUGCCAUCGUUGUCAUUG